UCUACAAACCCUAAAUCCAUUGUCGCUGCCUGUCUACUCUCCAGAUAUCUCGAUCCAUGAAAUUGAUUUCACCACUCGAUUAUUUCUCAAUUUCUGAUUCGCAACUGAUCUCCAUGGAUAUACCAAUUUGAUUUUGCAUUCAUGAUACGUAAUCCGUAUGUUUCUUCGCCUUGAAUUUUAAGGAUUUUUCGGUUAUCAUGUCGUCAAUUGUAGCAAGAACGCAUUGUCAUCUUCAGCGUUACGAGAACAAUCUUCGCUUCUGUUAGGGGCCUUUGUAUGCGUUAUAGCUGGUGAUUGGAUGUAUACAACAGAGGAGGUGUAAUUGGAACCCUGUGCUUCAUAUGCAGAAUUACUUUUCUUUGACCAAGGUGUUGUAUGAGUUGCAACUGGUGACAUGGAGGCGUCAACGACAGAAUUGUGGUGGAUAGUAGGAUCCGGUGACGAGUGGAGUGUCUGAGAAAAAAAGUGUAAGAGAUCUGGUGGUGUUGGGUCCAAAUGGGUCAGAAUUCAACUAUUGCCAAAUGGGCUAGCAAGUUGUUAAAGAAUGAAAUAUUAGAUUAUGAUGAAAAAGAUGUCACCCUUGUAAGUGUAACACUGGCUAUUUGAAGGUGGACUAGCUUAAGUUGGAACUGAUGUUGCAAAAUGCACUCUGGUCAUUUUCUUUAUGAACCUUUAGUGACCGAGACGGAACCAAGGGGGGGUCAAGAGGGUCACUAGAAUUCAUCAGACUGAUUUACUGAGUUUUUUUUUCAAGAAAAAAACGAAUUUGACCCCCUAGUUAUAGUCGGUAGAUAAGAAAAACUUGUCACAACCCACGACCAACAAGUUUAGGUACAGACACUAAUAGUAGAUUGUAAUGAGAUACCUCAAGCCUGAUAGGAGUUUGAUUUGAAUCAUCAACGGCCAUGGCAUUUCCAGAAUUCAUAUUUAGCUGCAGAAUUUCAAAGAGAUAUUGUUUCCCUUUAGGAUCAAG